rnacentral:rRNA from 1 species
UGGGGAAUAUUGCACAAUGGGCGCAAGCCUGAUGCAGCCAUGCCGCGUGUGUGAAGAAGGCCUUCGGGUUGUAAAGCACUUUCAGCGAGGAGGAAGGUGGUGAACUUAAUACGUUCAUCAAUUGACGUUACUCGCAGAAGAAGCACCGGCUAACUCCGUGCCAGCAGCCGCGGUAAUACGGAGGGUGCAAGCGUUAAUCGGAAUUACUGGGCGUAAAGCGCNCCAGGCGGUUUGUUAAGUCAGAUGUGAAAUCCCCGGGCUCAACCUGGGAACUGCAUUUGAAACUGGCAAGCUAGAUCUCGUAGAGGGGGGCUAGAAUUCCAGGUGUAGCGGUGAAAUGCGUAGAGAUCUGGAGGAAUACCGGUGGCGAAGGNGCCCCCUGGANGAAGACUGACGCUCAGGUGCGAAAGCAUGGGGAGCAAACAGGUUAGAUACCCUGGUAGUCCACG